rnacentral:rRNA from 1 species
UACGGAUGGUGCAAGCGUUAAUCGGAAUCACUGGGCGUAAAGCGUGCGUAGGCUGCUUGUUAAGUCAGGUGUGAAAGCCCUCGGCUCAACCGAGGAAUUGCACUUGAUACUGACAGGCUUGAGUCCUGGAGAGGAUGGCGGAAUUCCUGGUGUAGGAGUGAGAUCCGUAGAUAUCAGGAGGAGCACCGGUGGCGAAGGCGGCCAUCUGGACAGGUACUGACGCUGAGGUACGAAAGCGUGGGGAGCAAACAGG